UGUAUGCGUAUACCAAAGUUGUUGCAGUUAAAACGCUCGUAGUCGGAAUUUGGCAGUUCCGGAUGUGUGCACGUCGUGUGCGCACUUCGCGGGGAUUGCUUUUGUGGUCUUGCGUAGGAUGAGGCACUUUUAUUAGUGAACGUCCUCACGCAACCACUUUUUACUGUGAGAAAAUCAGAGUGCUCAAAGCAGGCAUUUGCCGUGAAUGUAUUAGCAUGGAAUAAUAGAAUAGGACUUGGUUCUAUUUUGUUGGUUUGUUGGGACUGAGUAAUGAUUAAGAGGGACAGUUGGGGGCAUUUGUAUUUCGGUGCUAGAGGUGAAAUUCUUAGAUUACCGAAAGACAAACUGCUGCGAAAGCGUCUGCCAAGGAUGUUUUCAUUGA
rnacentral:rRNA from 1 species